rnacentral:rRNA from 1 species
UCAAGCAAAAAGAGCGCAGGGCGGAUGCCUUGGCACUAAGAGCCGAAGAAGGACGUGAUAAGCUGCGAAAAGCCGCGGGGAGGAGCAAAUAUCCCUUGAUCCGCGGAUGUCCGAAUGGGGAAACCCGGCAGAGAAGACCUCUGUCAUCCAUACAUGAAUCCAUAGUGUAUGGAAGGGAACCCGGGGAACUGAAACAUCUAAGUACCCGGAGGAAAAGAAAGAAAACUCGAUUCCCAAAGUAGCGGCGAGCGAAAUGGGAGGAGCCUAAACCAGUGUGCGUGCACACUGGGGUUACGGACUGCAUUUAAGAUUCUCUAAGGUUAGAAGAACGGUUUUGGGAAAGCCGGCCAGAGAGGGUGAAAGCCCCGUACACGAAAACCGAAGAGACUGAGCAGGAUCCAGAGUACCGCGAGACACGUGGAACCUUGCGGGAAAUCAGGGGGACCACCCCCUAAGGCUAAAUACUACUUAGUGACCGAUAGCGGAUAGUACUGUGAAGGAAAGGUGAAAAGAACCCCGGGAGGGGAGUGAAAGAGAACCUGAAACCCUGUGUUUACAAGCUGUGGAACACCCUUAUGUGGUGAACCGCGUACUUUUUGUAGAACGGUCCGGCGAGUUACGCUUACUGGCAAGGUUAAGGACUUAAAGGUCUGGAGCCGUAGGGAAACCAAGUCUUAAUAGGGCCAAAGUCAGUAAGAGUAGACCCGAAACCGGGUGAUCUAUCCAUGUCCAGGCUGAAGUUGCCGUAAAAGGCAAUGGAGGGCCGAACCCACAUCCGUUGAAAAGGGUGGGGAUGAGGUGUGGAUAGGGGAGAAAUUCCAAUCGAACCCGGAGAUAGCUGGUUCUCCUCGAAAUAGCUUUAGGGCUAGCCUCGAUUUAGAUUUGCGGAGGUAGAGCACUGAAUUUCCUAGGGGGCGUCAAAGCUUACCGAAGAAUAUCAAACUCCGAAUGCCGUGUAAUUGAUGAUCGGGAGUCAGACUGCACGAGAUAAGUUGGGCAGUCAAAAGGGAAAGAGCCCAGACCUCCAGCUAAGGUCCCAAAGUGCGUGUUAAGUGGAAAAGGAUGUGGGAUUUCGAAGACAACUAGGAUGUUGGCUUAGAAGCAGCCAUACAUUCAAAGAGUGCGUAAUAGCUCACUAGUCGAGAGGUCCUGCGCCGAAAAUGUCCGGGGCUAAAACACGACACCGAAGCUGAGGAAUCGAAAGAUUGGUAGAGGAGCAUUGCAUGUGGGACGAAGCAGUACCGGAAGGAGCUGUGGACUGCAUGGAAGAGAGAAUGCCGGAAUGAGUAGCGAGAAUAAGGUGAGAAUCCUUAUGGCCGAAUAUCCAAGGUUUCCAGAGUAAAGCUGAUCUGCUCUGGGUAAGUCGGGGCCUAAGGCGAGGACGAAAGUCGUAGUCGAUGGACAGCAGGUGGAGAUUCCUGCACUGCUGUGUAACAGAACUGUGGGGACAUAUGUGGUGAGUGCGAGCCGGGAAUGGGAAGCCCGGUGCAAGCGAGGUACCAGUCACGUAGGCAAAUCCGCGUGGCAAUGGGAAGACGUGAUGCGGAGCGAAAGUUAGUAGCGAAGAGCGUAAGCCAUGUGUCAAGAAAAGCCGCUAUUGUUUAUACAGUACCCGUACCGGAAACCGACACAGGUGGAUGAGGAGAGAAUCCUAAGGCCGACGGAAGAAGCAUUGUCAAGGAACUCGGCAAAAUGACCCCGUAACUUCGGGAGAAGGGGUGCCACAGAAGAUGUGGCCGCAGAGAAUAGGCUCAAGCAACUGUUUAGCAAAAACACAGGUCUAUGCAAAACCGAAAGGUGAGGUAUAUGGGCUGACGCCUGCCCGGUGCUGGAAGGUUAAGAGGAGGAGUCAGGAAACGAAGCUCUGAAUUGAAGCCCCAGUAAACGGCGGCCGUAACUAUAACGGUCCUAAGGUAGCGAAAUUCCUUGUCGGGUAAGUUCCGACCCGCACGAAAGGCGUAAUGAUUUGAGCGCUGUCUCGACAAUGCAUCCGGUGAAAUUGAAGUACCAGUGAAGAUGCUGGUUACCUGCGCCAGGACGGAAAGACCCCAUGGAGCUUUACUCCAGCUUGAUACUGGGAUUCGGUAUUGCAUGUACAG